GGAUAACCGCUGAAAGCAUCUAAGCGGGAAGCCUGCUUCGAGAUGAGUAUUCCCACCUCCUUGAUGGGGUAAGGCUCCCAGUAGACGACUGGGUUGAUAGGCCAGAUAUGGAAGCCGGGUAACCGGUGGAGUUGACUGGUACUAAUAGGCCGAGGGCUUGUCCUCAGUUG
rnacentral:rRNA from 1 species